rnacentral:rRNA from 1 species
GUGAAAAAGAACCUGAAACCGUGUACGUACAAGCAGUGGGAGCACCCUUUGGGGUGUGACUGCGUACCUUUUGUAUAAUGGGUCAGCGACUUAUAUUCUGUAGCAAGGUUAACCGAAUAGGGGAGCCGGAGGGAAACCGAGUCUUAAUUGGGCGUUAAGUUGCAGGGUAUAGACCCGAAACCCGGUGAUCUAGCCAUGGGCAGGUUGAAGGUUGGGUAACACUAACUGGAGGACCGAACCGACUAAUGUUGAAAAAUUAGCGGAUGACCUGUGGCUGGGGGUGAAAGGCCAAUCAAACCGGGAGAUAGCUGGUUCUCCCCGAAAGCUAUUUAGGUAGCGCCUCGUGAAUUCAUCUCCGGGGGUAGAGCACUGUUUCGGCUAGGGGGCCAUCCCGGCUUACCAACCCGAUGCAAACUGCGAAUACCGGAGAAUGUUAUCACGGGAGACACACGGCGGGUGCUAACGUCCGUCGUGAAGAGGGAAACAACCCAGACCGCCAGCUAAGGUCCCAAAGUCAUGGUUAAGUGGGAAACGAUGUGGGAAGGCCCAGACAGCCAGGAUGUUGGCUUAGAAGCAGCCAUCAUUUAAAGAAAGCGUAAUAGCUCACUGGUCGAGUCGGCCUGCGCGGAAGAUGUAACGGGGCUAAACCAUGCACCGAAGCUGCGGCAGCGACGUUUAUGCGUUGUUGGGUAGGGGAGCGUUCUGUAAGCCUGCGAAGGUGGCCUGUGAGGGUUGCUGGAGGUAUCAGAAGUGCGAAUGCUGACAUAAGUAACGAUAAAGCGGGUGAAAAGCCCGCUCGCCGGAAGACCAAGGGUUCCUGUCCAACGU